CACGUAGUUAGCCGGGGCUUCUUAGUCAGGUACCGUCAUUUUCUUUCCUGCUGAUAGAGCUUUACAUACCGAAAUACUUCUUCACUCACGCGGCGUCGCUGCAUCAGGGUUUCCCCCAUUGUGCAAUAUUCCCCACUGCUGCCUCCCGUAGGAGUUUGGGCCGUGUCUCAGUCCCAAUGUGGCCGUUCACCCUCUCAGGCCGGCUACUGAUCGUCGCCUUGGUGGGCCUCUACCCCGCCAACAAGCUAAUCAGACGCGGGUCCAUCGUAUACCACCGGAGUUUUUCACACCGGACCAUGCGAUCCUGUGCGCUUAUGCGGUUUUAGCACCUAUUUCUAAGUGUUAUCCCCCUGUAUACGGCAGGUUACCCACGCGUUACUCACCCGUCCGCCACUAACAGAUAAAUCACUAGGUUUCAUUACCUGUCCGUUCGACUUGCAUGUGUUAAGCACGCCGCCAGCGUUCAUCCUGAGCCAGGAUCAAACUCU
rnacentral:rRNA from 1 species